rnacentral:rRNA from 1 species
AGUGAACGCUGGCGGUAGGCCUAACACAUGCAAGUCGAACGGCAGCACAGUAAGAGCUUGCUCUUACGGGUGGCGAGUGGCGGACGGGUGAGGAAUACAUCGGAAUCUACUUUUUCGUGGGGGAUAACGUAGGGAAACUUACGCUAAUACCGCAUACGACCUACGGGUGAAAGCAGGGGAUCUUCGGACCUUGCGCGAUUGAAUGAGCCGAUGUCGGAUUAGCUAGUUGGCGGGGUAAAGGCCCACCAAGGCGACGAUCCGUGGCUGGUCUGAGAGGAUGAUCGGCCACACUGGAACUGAGACACGGUCCAGACUCCUACGGGAGGCAGCAGUGGGGAAUAUUGGACAAUGGGCGCAAGCCUGAUCCAGCCAUACCGCGUGGGUGAAGAAGGCCUUCGGGUUGUAAAGCCCUUUUGUUGGGAAAGAAAAGCAGCAGGUUAAUACCCCGCUGUUCUGACGGUACCCAAAGAAUAAGCACCGGCUAACUUCGUG